rnacentral:lncRNA from 1 species
GCCGGAUGAGGGAGAAACUGAGGUUGGAAAAUCUGCCAAAACUGCUGCGUUUUCCAGCCGUUUUCGGCGGCUCCAGACAGCAGCAGGGGCGGCGGACGGGCUGGGGUUGAUGGCGGGAGCUGGCCGGUGCUGCUGGGUCCGGUCCGGAGGGUCGGGGUGGCGUGAGGUGGCGUCGGGGUGGCUUGGAAGUGGCUGCCCGACUGGUUUUU